UGACAGGUGGUGCAUGGUUGUCGUCAGCUCGUGUCGUGAGAUGUUGGGUUAAGUCCCACAACGAGCGCAACCCUCGACCUUAGUUGCCAGCAUUCAGUUGGGCACUCUAAGGUGACUGCCGGCUAAAAGUCGGAGGAAGGUGGGGGAUGACGUCAAAUCAUCAUGCCCCUUAUGACCUGGGCUACACACGUGCUACAAUGGGCGGUACAAAGGGUCGCGAACCCGCGAGGGGGAGCCAAUCCCAAAAAGCCGCUCUCAGUUCGGAUUGCAGGCUGCAACUCGCCUGCAUGAAGCCGGAAUCGCUAGUAAUCGCGGAUCAGAAUGCCGCGGUGAAUACGUUCCCGGGCCUU
rnacentral:rRNA from 1 species